rnacentral:rRNA from 1 species
AUUGAACUUUGGCGGCAGGCUUAACACAUGCAAGUCGAACGAUGAAACUCUAGCUUGCUAGAGAAGAUUAGUGGCGGACGGGUGAGUAACAUUUAGGAAUCUGCCUAGUAGUGGGGGAUAGCUCGGGGAAACUCGAAUUAAUACCGCAUACGACCUACGGGUGAAAGGGGGCGCAAGCUCUUGCUAUUAGAUGAGCCUAAAUCAGAUUAGCUAGUUGGUGGGGUAAAGGCCCACCAAGGCGACGAUCUGUAACUGGUCUGAGAGGAUGAUCAGUCACACCGGAACUGAGACACGGUCCGGACUCCUACGGGAGGCAGCAGUGGGGAAUAUUGGACAAUGGGGGCAACCCUGAUCCAGCCAUGCCGCGUGUGUGAAGAAGGCCUUUUGGUUGUAAAGCACUUUAAGCAGGGAGGAGAGGCUAAUGGUUAAUACCCAUUAGAUUAGACGUUACCUGCAGAAUAAGCACCGGCUAACUCUGUGCCAGCAGCCGCGGUAAUACAGAGGGUGCGAGCGUUAAUCGGAAUUACUGGGCGUAAAGCGAGUGUAGGUGGCUCAUUAAGUCACAUGUGAAAUCCCCGGGCUUAACCUGGGAACUGCAUGUGAUACUGGUGGUGCUAGAAUAUGUGAGAGGGAAGUAGAAUUCCAGGUGUAGCGGUGAAAUGCGUAGAGAUCUGGAGGAAUACCGAUGGCGAAGGCAGCUUCCUGGCAUAAUAUUGACACUGAGAUUCGAAAGCGUGGGUAGCAAACAGGAUUAGAUACCCUGGUAGUCCACGCCGUAAACGAUGUCUACUAGCCGUUGGGGUCCUUGAGACUUUAGUGGCGCAGUUAACGCGAUAAGUAGACCGCCUGGGGAGUACGGCCGCAAGGUUAAAACUCAAAUGAAUUGACGGGGGCCCGCACAAGCGGUGGAGCAUGUGGUUUAAUUCGAUGCAACGCGAAGAACCUUACCUGGUCUUGACAUAGUGAGAAUCUUUCAGAGAUGAGAGAGUGCCUUCGGGAAUUCACAUACAGGUGCUGCAUGGCUGUCGUCAGCUCGUGUCGUGAGAUGUUGGGUUAAGUCCCGCAACGAGCGCAACCCUUUUCCUUAUUUGCCAGCGGGUUAAGCCGGGAACUUUAAGGAUACUGCCAGUGACAAACUGGAGGAAGGCGGGGACGACGUCAAGUCAUCAUGGCCCUUACGACCAGGGCUACACACGUGCUACAAUGGUAGGUACAGAGGGUUGCUACACAGCGAUGUGAUGCUAAUCUCAAAAAGCCUAUCGUAGUCCGGAUUGGAGUCUGCAACUCGACUCCAUGAAGUCGGAAUCGCUAGUAAUCGCAGAUCAGAAUGCUGCGGUGAAUACGUUCCCGGGCCU